CAGGUAAGAGGCGAAGCCCGACGUGGCACGUGCACAAAACCGAACACUGCUCCAUCUCGAGGAAGGAAAUUGUGACACAGGCUGCCGCACAGAGGAACUGGAGGACAUCAUGCGGAGUGAAGUAAGCCGGUCACAAAAGACCAUCCGUGUAGGACUGCACUUCCCCGAGGCACCGGGGAGCCACAUUCAGGGAGCUGGAGUCUCUGUGUCUGCCUCUCUGUGUCCCGGAAGGAUGCGGCGAGAAGUCCGUCACCUGCCAGCUGAGAGGAGAGUGUCCCUCCUCUUGGAAUCUGUGACUCUGAGAAACCGUCUGCCCAGGGCCAGCUGCCUGCCUCCUGACCUGCCGGCCUUUCUGUACCUGAGUACUAAGAACACUGGCAGUGUAAAGCACCUUGCUGCCUGCGGGGGACUGAGCUGCAGCAUGGUGUCCUCGGGGCUCAGGUGAGCCGCUGGCUGGACCGCCCUUGCUGGCACCUCGAGCACACAGCUCAGGGCUCAUGGGACACGUGGGAGCUGCCCGGCGAUGAGGGCCCCCCAGAGGACGGCCUGAGGGGAGACCCCCCACCCCCACCCCUGCAUGUCCUGCAGAGUGGGAGCAGGAGGGUCGGGUAGGACCGCGGGAGGAGCAGGUAACUUCCCAGGUUCGGCAUAGCCUAUUCCUCCCCGCGGGGCGGUGGGCAGCCCGCUCUCCCACACCGGCCGGGCGUCCCAGGGCCAGGCUGGACCCUGCUGCAGGGGGCGGGGGCUCUGGGCCGAGGCCAACGCUGACACCCAUCACCUGUGCAGGCGGUCAGGGACCAGAAGCAGCCUCUGGGCCUGGGAGGGACGGGAGGAGAGGAGAGUGGGGACCGGCCCACAGGGAAGCAGGAGCUCUGGACUUGGGGCGUGGAUGUGUGGCUCUCAGCCCCACCAGGACAUCUCACGGAAGAGCCCCCACUUUCUGACAACACCCAAAUCUGGAGCAAACCCCUCUCUUCCUUUGACCCUGCUCCAAAUGCCGCCCCGUACCUGGGAAUCCCGUGAGCACUCCUUUCCAGCACCCCCGUGUCGGUCUGCUCAGGCUGCAGUCACAGAGGUCCACAGGCUAGGGGCCUGAACGACAGGUAUGUAUUUUCUCACAGGCUGGAGGCUGGAAAUCCAAGAUCAGGGCGUUGCUACAGCUGGUGUCUCCUUGGCUUGUAGAUUGCUGUUGUCAUACUGUGAUUUGUCACCUAGAGCCCUUGCUAUUCCCCGAGUGGGGAGAGCCAUGAAGGUGUGCUGUUUCUGUGAAGAGGUGGCCUGUGGACGGUUCUUCCGGGCGGAGGGGAGGGGGCCGGAGAUGAUUCAACCCCAGACAAGCUCCUGCCCUUGUCCCGCGCCUGACCCUGGGCCCCUCUCCCAUCUGGCUGUCCCCGAGGCACGUCCUUUUAUCAUAAACUGGUAUAACGUUCCUCUGAGCUCUGUGAGCCACUCUAGCAAAUCGGUCGAACCAGGGGAGGGGGACGCAGGACCCCGGGUCUACAGCCAGUGGGUAGAUUGGAAUCUGAGCUGUGUGUCGGGGGCCCGUCCUGUGGGACUGAGCCCCUAACCUGUGGGAUCUGACGCUGUCUCCACGCAGAUAGUGUCAGAACUGACUUGACUUGGAAGAUUCCCAGCUGGUUGGUGGGAUGUGUAGGGGGGAAGCACAUCAGAAUUGCUGUCGGAAUCCGAGCCACCUCCUCCCUGUGUCCUCACACGGUCUUCCCUCUGUGCCCGUCUGUGUCUUAAUCUCCUCUUCUUAGAAGGGCAUCAGUCACUUUGGAUUAGAAGCCACCAUAGGACCUCAUGGAACGGAAUUACCUCUUCAAAGACCCCGUCUCCAAAUACAGCCACUUCUGAGGCACUAGGGGAUGAGGACUGCAACUCAAGAAUGUAGGGGGGCCCCGAGCAGCCUGGCGCUUGGCGUGCGGUGCCUCUCCCCAGUGAGGAGUAACGCCAGCCUGUGCAACCCCAGGUGCGCUGUUGGUGGUCGGUGGGCACUGGCAAUAAUGUGACUCUGAGGAAGGGAUGCAGAAAUUCCUCGUGGGUGGAAGGAAAGCGGAGGUGGCUUCCCAAGGACUCAAAGAGGAGACUGGACAAAGUGACACCUUACCCCCCUCCCCACGCUUGGUCUGUGGGGUCUCAGCUCAGGCCUCCCCCAGGAGACAGGGAACGACUUUGGAUGCCAGAUGGAUGUUUUGGUAUUGAGUUCGGCUGGACUAUUGACCCGCUGAAAUUGGGACAGUUGGAAAACCCCAAAAUGGCAAGAAAAUCUGGAAGAUCGGCUCCAGAUAUAGCCCUGGGGGAGGAAGAGGGGACUCAGACAGAUGGUGUGUGAAGGCAGGGUGAGAAAGAAUAAAGCUGUUUCCUGUUCACA